rnacentral:tRNA from 1 species
UGUAAAUAUAGUUUAAUCAAAACAUUAGAUUGUGAGUCUAAUAAUAGAACCUAAACCUUCUUAUUUACC